UCCAAGGAAGGCAGCAGGCACGCAAAUUACCCAAUCCCAGCCCUGGGAGGUAGUGACGAAAAAUAACAAUGCGGGACUCUUCCGAGUCUGCGUAAUUGGAAUGAGCACACUUUAAAUCCUUUAGCAACAACCAAUUGGAGGGCAAGUCUGGUGCCAGCAGCCGCGGUAAUUCCAGCUCCAAUAGCGUAUAUUAAAGUUGUUGCGGUUAAAAAGCUCGUAGUUCGAGGUCAGUUCCGGACUGGGGUGGGAGGUCACCGCCCGGUGCUUCCCCGUCAGGCUCCGAACAGCUUCCUUUUAUGGAAGCCAAGCCGGCUCUGCCGGGGUGCUCUUUACCGAGUGUCCCGCGCGGCCGGCCAGUUCACCUUGAAUAAAUGAGAGUGCUCAAAGCAGGCUACUCUGGAAUACAAUGCCCGAAUGUUAGCUGCAUGGAAUGAUGGAAGAUGA
rnacentral:rRNA from 1 species